rnacentral:lncRNA from 1 species
GAAAGCAGCGGAGAUGAAAAAGUCAAGAUAGACCGGGCACAGUGGCUCCUGUGUGUAAUUCCAGAGCUCUGGGAGGUCAAGGCAGGCAGAGAUCACUUGAGCCCAGGAGUUCAAGACCAGCCUGGGCAACAUGGCGAAAUCCCACCUCUAUAAAAAAUACAAAAAUUAACUACUCGGGAGGCUAAGGUGAGAGGAUCACUUGAACCUGGGAGGCAGAGGUUGCAAUGAGCCACGAUUGUGCCACUACACUCCAGCCUGGGUGAUACAGUGAGACUUUGUCUGAAAAAAAAAAAAGAGAGUCAAGACAUUCUGUGAGGAAACUCAAAGCACUCAAAGCAGCCAACAGCAUUUGUUGCUGAACCAGCCGUGAAAAGACGGAAAAGCUUACUCAACUCUACCUUGUAUGGCAGUUUGAGAAUCCCAGAGGCAAGUUCCCAGAAAUGUACAGAAAAAGCCAAGAGCAAUGCUUCCUAUGCAUUCUUGUUCAAUGGUGUCUUAGAGGGAUGAAUAACUAUAAAAUGGUGAUUCCAACACUUUGAAGGACCAUCUUAAAGGCAAACUACCUAAUAAAAU